rnacentral:pre_miRNA from 1 species
GUGACAGAGGAGAGUGAGCACACAUGGUUCUUGCAUGAAAAUUUCAUGCUUGAAGCUCUGCGUGCUCGCUCUCUAUCUGUCAC